rnacentral:rRNA from 1 species
CAGCUAGUUGGUGAGGUAAGAGCCCACCAAGGCAGAGAUCGGUAGCCGGCCUGAGAGGGCACACGGCCACACUGGCACUGAAACACGGGCCAGACUCCUACGGGAGGCAGCAGUGGGGAAUCUUGCACAAUGGGGGCAACCCUGAUGCAGCGACGCCGCGUGAGCGAUGAAGCCCUUCGGGGUGUAAAGCUCUUUCGUCAGGGAAGAUAGUGACGGUACCUGGAGAAGCAGCUGCGGCUAACUACGUGCCAGCAGCCGCGGUAAUACGUAGGCAGCGAGCGUUGUUCGGAGUUACUGGGCGUAAAGGGUGUGUAGGCGGUUCUUUAAGUUUGGUGUGAAAUCUCCCGGCUCAACCGGGAGGGUGCGCCGAAUACUGAGGGACUAGAGUGUGGGAGAGGAAAGUGGAAUUCCUGGUGUAGCGGUGAAAUGCGUAGAUAUCAGGAGGAACACCGGUGGUGUAGACGGCUUUCUGGACCAUAACUGACGCUGAGACACGAAAGCGUGGGUAGCAAACAGGAUUAGAUACCCUGGUAGUCCACGCCCUAAACGAUGCAUAUUUGGUGUGGGUCAUUCAGUUGAUCCGUGCCGGAGCUAACGCGUUAAAUAUGCCGCCUGGGGAGUACAGUCGCAAGGCUGAAACUCAAAGG